GCAGUCGAGCGGAAUGACGAGAGCUUGCUCUCUGAUUUUAGCGGCGGACGGGUGAGUAACACGUGGGCAACCUGCCCUACAGAUGGGGAUAACUCCGGGAAACCGGGGCUAAUACCGAAUAAUCAGUUUGUCCGCAUGGACAAACUCUGAAAGACGGUUUCGGCUGUCACUGUAGGAUGGGCCCGCGGCGCAUUAGCUAGUUGGUGGGGUAAUGGCCUACCAAGGCAACGAUGCGUAGCCGACCUGAGAGGGUGAUCGGCCACACUGGGACUGAGACACGGCCCAGACUCCUACGGGAGGCAGCAGUAGGGAAUCUUCCACAAUGGACGAAAGUCUGAUGGAGCAAUGCCGCGUGAGCGAAGAAGGUUUUCGGAUCGUAAAGCUCUGUUGUAAGGGAAGAACACGUACGGGAGUAACUGCCCGUGCCAUGACGGUACCUUAUUAGAAAGCCACGGCUAACUACGUGCCAGCAGCCGCGGUAAUACGUAGGUGGCAAGCGUUGUCCGGAAUUAUUGGGCGUAAAGCGCGCGCAGGCGGUUCUUUAAGUCUGAUGUGAAAGCCCACGGCUCAACCGUGGAGGGUCAUUGGAAACUGGAGAACUUGAGUACAG
rnacentral:rRNA from 1 species